rnacentral:rRNA from 1 species
UUUUGGACAAUGGGCGAAAGCCUGAUCCAGCCAUUCCGCGUGAGUGAAGAAGGCCUUCGGGUUGUAAAGCUCUUUCGCAACCCCAGAAAACUUAGGCGCUAAUAUCGCUUGAGGUUGACGGUACCUUGAUAAGAAGCACCGGCUAACUACGUGCCAGCAGCCGCGGUAAUACGUAGGGUGCGAGCGUUAAUCGGAAUUACUGGGCGUAAAGCGUGCGCAGGCGGUUUUGUAAGUCAGAUGUGAAAUCCCCGAGCUCAACUUGGGAACUGCGUUUGAAACUAUAAGACUAGAAUAUGUCAGAGGGGGGUAGAAUUCCACGUGUAGCAGUGAAAUGCGUAGAGAUGGGAGGAAUACCAAUGGCGAAGGCAGCCCCCUGGGAUAAUAUUGACGCUCAUGCACGAAA